rnacentral:rRNA from 1 species
AGCUCCAAUAGCGUAUAUUAAAGUUGCUGCAGUUAAAAAGCUCGUAGUUGCAUUUCCGAGGCAAGGGAUUAGUCCGACCUUUGGUGGGUAUUUAAUCCUCUUGCCUCGUCCUUGAGUGGUGCUUCUUGGUAUUAAGUUAUCGAGGAGAUAGCCGCUCAUCGUUUACUGUGAGAAAAUUAGAGUGUUCAAAGCAGGCUUAUGCCGUUGAAUAUAUUAGCAUGGAAUAAUAAGAUAGGACCUCGGUACUAUUUUGUUGGUUUGAGAACCAAGGUAAUGAUGAAUAGGGACAGUUGGGAGUAUUCGUAUUCAGUUGUCAGAGGUGAAAUUCUUGGAUUUACGGAAGACGAACUACUGCGAAAGCAUUUACCAAGGAUGUUUUCA